rnacentral:lncRNA from 1 species
AAGACAAGGAUGCCCACUCACCACUUUUAUUCAACAUAGUAUUGGAAGUCUUAGCCACAGCAAUAAAAAAACAAAAGAAAUAUAAAACGUAUCCAACUUGGAAGAGAAGAGGUGAAAUUGUCACUCUAUGCAGAUGGCAUGAUACUAUAUAUUGAAAACCCUAAGGAAUCCACACAAAAUCUACUCCAACUGAUCAAUGAAUUCAGCAAAGUAGCAGGAUAAUAAGAUUAACAUUCAGAAAUUGGUUGCAUUUCUGUAUACUAAAAAUGAAAUAUUAGAAUAGGACUGUAAAAAUACAAUACCUUUUAAAGUCACACCCCCAAAAAUUAAAUACCUAGGGGAAAAAACCUUACCAAAGAGGUGAAAGUCUUAUAUGCUGAGAACUAUAAAAUAUUAAUCACAGAAAUAAAAGAGGAAUCAAAGAAAUGGAAAGGUAUUACAUGCUCCUGUGUUGGAAGAAUUAAUAUUGUAAAAAUGACCAUACUACCCAAAGUAACCUACAGAUUGAUUGCAAUCCCUAUCAGAUUACCCAUGACAUUUUUCACAUAUUUAAAACAAUCCAAAAAUGUAUAUGGAACCAUAAAAGACCCAGAAUUGCCAAAGCAAUACUUAAAAACAAAAACCAAGCAGGAGGCAUAACUCUCUCAGACUUCAGACAAUGUUACAAAGCUACAGUAAUCAAGACAGUGUGGAACUGGUACCAAAACAGAGAUAGAGAACCCAUAAAUAAAUAAACCCAGACACCUAUGGCCAAUUGAUCUUUGACAGAGGAGGCAAGAAUAUAAAAUGGGGAAAAGACAGUCUUUUCAGCAAGUGGUGCUGGGAAAACUAGACUGCCACAUGUGAAUCAAUGAAACUGGAAUACACCCUCACACCAUGCACAAAGAUAAACUCAAAAUGGCUUAAAGACUUAAAUGUAACACAACAAUUUUAUGAGAAACAAAGAGCAUUUUAUAAUGAUAAAAGGGUCAAUACCACAAGAAGAUAAAACACUUAUAAAUGCAUAUUCACUUAAAAUCCAAGCUCCAGAAUACAGGAAAAAAAACUGACAAAAAAAGAAAGAUGAAAAGACAAUUUAACCACUAUAAAUGGAAAUUUCAAUGUCCUGUCUUCAAUAAUGUAUAGAAAAACUAAACAGAAGUAGUAGUUAUAUAAAAUAUUUGACGAUUUAACUAACUCCACAUAAAUGACAUAUAGAACACCUCACUGAACAGCACAAUAAACAUUCUUUUUAAAUAUGUAAAACAUAUACUAGGCCCUAAAAUGAGACAAAUUAAUAUUGAAGUCAUGCAAAGUAAGUUCUCAGCCUGCAAUAUAAUUAAAUUAGAAAUUAACAAGAGAGAGAAAUUGUUAAACUCCUCCAAAAUUUGGAACUUAAACAGCAUACAUCCAAGUAAUCUUUGGUUCAAAUAAGAUAUAAUAAGAGAAAGUAUAAAUAAAAUAUUCUGAUUUUUAAAAAUUACAUAACAAAAUUUAUAGGAAGCAGAUAAAACAGUGAUUAGAAGAAAAUAAAUAACUUUAAAUGUUUUUACCAGAAAAGAAGAAAUUUUUCAGUUAAAUAACUUAGGCUUGCACCUUAAUAAAUUAGAAAAAGAAGAAUAAAUUAAACUGAAUACAAGCAAAAUAAAGAAAAUCAAAUUAUAGGUGAUAUCAGGGAAAUACAAAACAGGAAAAAAAUCAAUGAACCAAAAAGUUGAUUCCUUUAAAUAUCAACAAAGCUGACAAAUAUUUGUCUAAACUAACCAAGAAUGAAACAGGUAGAUACAAAUUACCAAAAUCAAGAAUUAAAGAGAAUACAUACUCUAGGCCUCAAAAUUGUAAAUAUUUAAGAGAUUCUUAUGAAUAAUUUUUGGCAUCAUUGCACAACUUAAAUGAAAUAGGCAAAUCCCUCAAAUGACACCAGUAUCAAAAUUAUCCUAGGAAAAAUAAAGAAAUAAAAAUGGACCUAAAAUAAGUGAAGAUAUUGAAUUACUAUUAAAAAUAUUCCCAAGGAACUUAGCACAGAUGACUCACUGGUGAAUUCUAUCAAAUACAUAAAAAAUAAAUAAUACCAAAUCUUUAGAAAACUAUCUCAGAGUAUAGAGGCCAGUAAUCUACUGAUGAGAGCCAAAGACAUCACAGGAAAAGAAGAGUGUAGGUCAAUAGUCCAUAUAAACAUAAAUACAAAAUACUAAAAUAUUAGAACUAAAUCUAGUAAAAUUUAAAAUAGGUUAUAUACCACAACCAAGUGAGGUUCAUGCCACAAAUGUGAGUUGGGGUUAGCACUGAAAAAUUAGCACAACUUUAUCAAGUCCAUAAGAUACAAGAUCACAAUACCAAAAUCAAUUAAAUUUCUGUAUGUUAACAAUAAAGAGCCUAAAAAAAUUAAGAAAACAAUUGCAAUCACAAUAAUAUCAAAAUAUAAAUUACCUAGGCACAAAGUUAACCAAAGAUAGUGUAAGAUUUUUACACUGAAAAAUACACUGAUAGAAAUUAAAGAUUUAAAUUAAUAGAGAGAUCUUUCAUGAUCAAAAGCUGGGAAAAAAAUAUUGUCAGGAAGUCAAUUUAUUCCAAAUUUAUCUAUAAAAUCAAUGCAAUUGUUAUCGCUGCCCCCAGAGAAUUUUUGUAGAAUUCAACAAGAUGAUUCUAAAAUAUAUUUAAACAGAUCGUGACUAGCCAAAGCAAUUUUGAAAUAAAUAAUGUUGGAGGAUUUAUAGUAUCUAAUUUGAAAACUCACCAUAAAGCAACUAAUAAAUAUAGUGCAGUAAUGGUGUAAAUUUUAUAUGCAUAUAAAUCAGUGGAACAAAAUUGGGAUUACUUAUCAAUUAUUACACUUUAAAUAUGUGCAGUUUGUUGUAUGUCAGUUUUACCUCAGUAAAGCUUUUAUAAUACAAAGCCCAGCUAGAGUGUCAUUUUGUACACUGAAGUAUUUCAAAAAGUGAGACGUUGUGGAUUUUAAUCAUAGCUUAUUUUUUAGUUCCUUCAUGUGCAUCCUUAAGGAAUUUCUUUUCACUCAGGCACAGAUAUGCCAAUUACAGAUAUUUUUUCCCAGAUAAAUUUGAGAAGUUUUAAAAUUUCUGAAAGCCUAAUCCAAUCUUCCUAGAAAAGGUGAAAAGUUUUGGACAGUAGUGACUGGGACUGGACGCAUGAUAGAAUUAAAAACUGGCUUUACUUUCUUGUCAAUUUUUUUCAUAAUUUUUGGUGAGGUUGAAGAAAGACAUGAUGUUAAAUGUACAGUUUGAGGGUUGAGACAAUACGUGGAUAUGUUUAUUAGAAUUGAGAAAUUUUAAAAAGGUCAUCUUCAUGUAGUAUAAAUUUUGGUAUGAAAUGAAAGAAAAGUAAAAUGUGUUGUGCAGGACAUUGUUCCAAGUAAUUAGGAAUCUGUGCUCCUUGGAUUGUUAAUAACCAUCUACCUUUGAGCUAAAACACUUCUCUAAAUUGUUUCGUCAUCCAUAAAAUAAGGCACCGUAUCAGAUACUACCUAGGAAUAUUAUCUUUCUAUAAAAAUACUAUGUUUCUAGAAUGUAUGCCGCAUUUCUGUCCCUUUUAUUACUGUUUUUUUAAGGUGAGUAAGGUUUUAUAUUUCAAUUUUUUGAAUUAUUUCUCUACAGUUUAAGCAAUGCACUUCAUAUUUUAGACCUAAUUUGGAUGAAUAAAGAAUCAGGGUGUAUAACAGACCACGUUUUUUUAAAAGAAACGUAUAAGAAGUAUUUAAGGACAAAAAGUAUUUAAGCCUAUAUAAUCUGCCCAUGAACCUAUACAGUAUAAUCUGAUUUCAGUCUAAAGAAACUUUAACAUGUUCAUUGCAAUGGUAAAAAAGGCUCAGUAUCACCACAUGUACAAAAAAUAUUUUGUUUGUAAAAUAAAUAACUCUCAAAAUGAAUAGAUUUUGUUAUUUUAAUUAUCUUUACUAUGCAGUAAAAUGAUAUAGACUGUAAUGAUCUGAUUUUGAUUUUAUGGAGUUUAUAUAAUUUAUAUUUGUUGUAAUCCAAUUUGUUUAAUGAUAAAAUUGAUAAUAAUUAUAAAUACUAUGCUAUGGCAAUAUUCUUCUAAGCAGAAAGUCCUUACAUGGAAUUCUACCGUACACAUAAUCUCAACUGGAAUCAAAUUUCAUUAGGUGUACAGAGUAAUUAAACCCUGCCCCUGUCUCACAUUUGAAGUAUUAUGAUAGUAAACUAGAUUGAAGCUCAUGUAAUUUUCCAUGAAUCAAUACAAUAUAAUCCGAUUCCAAUAGGGAUUGAGCUACCUAGAAUGUCACAAAAUAGCAUUACAAUCUUCGAUUUUGUUGAGAUGCUAAAUACAUUUUCUCUGUAAUGUUGCUUAAUGUCCAGGAUAUCUGAAUAAGAGAAGCACUAUCUUACCAAGAUUUUAUUUUCAAGCACUUCCAUUUUGAGGGACUUUUUUAAAAACACUAUCACACAAUAUGUUUCUGAGAUAUUACCAUCUUGAACUUUCACAGUAUGCAGUUAUUCUAACACAGUGUAAAAUUUUUUCCACAAUAAGAGUAAACAUGUUUAAUUGAUGCAAAUAUCAAGCAGCAUUGUCACAUUUUUCCUAGAAUUAUUUCCACAGUGGAUCUUUUAUACAGGAUAUUUUAAAAGUAAAGAAAAUAGAGAAGCACAUAUAGCUCACUUAUUGCUAACAACCCAAAUAAAUUAAGAUCAUGAUAUUUAAAGAGAACUAUGACAUUUGGCACUUCAUUUUAUUUUAAAUUUAAUUGAGCAUGGAGAAAGUUUUCUAUGUGCUUAAACAUUUUAUUAAACUUUUGAUAUAUUUUAUUGUUCAGCUGCCUUAUGUAAAAUGGAGAUUAUUACUUUUUGAUAUCCGAGGCAUUGUGUGGCCAAACUAUUAAGUCUUACCAGUGUGAUAUAUUGUCCAUUUAAAUAUCCCAACAGCUUGCAUUAGUGUAUUUCUAUUUCAUUUGCCAUUAUUAAUUUUCUUUACAUGUGGGAAUAUUAAAUCAGGUAAAGAUUUGAAGUUAACACUUCAUGAGUGUUUGAGUUCAUGCCUGUUGCCUCUCAUUCAAUUGAGAUAAACAACAUUUGUGUAUUUGUCCACUCCAAGAAACCCUCUCUAUUUCAUAAUAGUCACUCAUCCUCAAAGUCUGGGUUUCUCUACAAGUUUGCUGUUACACCUGUCCCAACUCCACUGGCCACAGAAGUAUGGCCAUGACAAUGAUAGCUGUACCAAUCAGACACUCUCUGAAAGAAAUGUGAAAUUGAAUUUGAAAUGUGAGAUAUAAGGUAGUGUAAACUUUAGUGUGGAGGACCAGUUGUGAGAAUAGAGGAAAUAAGAUAGUCUCUCUUCAAAGGAUGAAUCAGACAUGAAAGACACCAUGUAGUUCCUGAUAGAGGAUUUACCUUAGUUCCCAGCAUUUUUUUUUUUUUUUCAUCUCAAUACUUCUGUGUCUUUUUUUUUUUCCCCAUCUUCCUAGGGUCACACCUGUGGCACAUGGAGGUUCUCAGGCUAGGGUUUGAAUUGGAGCUGUAGAAUCUGGCCUACACCACAGCCACAGCAAUCCAGGAUCCAAGCCGUGUCUAUGAUCUACACCACAGCUCAUGGCAACACUGGAUCCUUAACCCACUAGUAAGGCCAGGGAUCAAACUAGUGUCUUCAAGGACUACUCAAGCUCAUUAACUGCUGAGCGACAACAGGAACUCCAACACUCUGUGUCCUGACUCUAUUCUUUCUACUUGAAUGCAUGAGCCAAACCUAUGUCUUCAUUGGGUACAAUAUAAAAUCUUAAGCUAGUUUUAAUAAAGAAAGAAAUGCACUGCUUACUAUUGACCCAGCACUGUUCUAAGAAUUUUAUUAAGCCUUGCAACAACUAGAGGUAGGUAUUGUUACCAUCCUCAUUUAUAGAUGAGGAUACUGAGGCAUAGAGAGGUUAUAUAAUUUCCCCAUAAGUUAUGCCUCUUUUAUAUAAGGCAGUUAAACCAAAAAUUAUUGAAAGUGUAAUAAAGAAUUGUUUAAACACAUUAAAAAACCUUUGUCCAUGCUCAAACUUGGACUUUCAAGACUUGCAAUUAGAAAAUUCAGGGAGUUCCUGUCGUGGUGCAGUGGUUAACGAAUCCGACUGGGAACCAUGAGGUUGCGGGUUCAGUCCCUGCCCUUGCUCAGUGGGUUGACGAUCCAGCGUUGCCGUGAGCUGUGGUGUAGGUUGCAGAUGCGGCUCGGAUCCUGCGUUGCUGUGGCUCUGGCGUAGGCCGCUGGCUACAGCUCCGAUUAGACCCCUAGCCUGGGAACCUCCAUAUGCCG